UUUUAGCCCAGAGGGUCCCGAACCUUCGGGAGACAUCCUUUUCUUUUUUCUUGCAAAAAAGAAAAGAUAUAGUGUACAGCUGGAAAUAGC
rnacentral:sRNA from 1 species